CCUACUUGAAGGGCAGACACCCAGAGCCUGGGCAAAGAAUGAACAGCAAAACUCCCACUAGGGUCCGCUUGGAGAAUGGAACUUUGGCUGUUCAAACCCUUGGUUUUCGUGCCUGAAGUAGAGGUCUGAGGAGGUAGUCAGAUGUAUUUCCCAGGAAGCAGCUGCACACAGUCAUCAUGUGCUUGAGACACUGGACAAGUGAGCAUCGACGUGAGCAGACGUCUGGGAAGCACAGUGAAGAGAGAUGCUUCUGCUGAUGCAUUUGAAGUCUGAGCUGUAUUCAGGAUACCGUAAAAGGAAAUGGUUCUUCCUGACUGCAAAGUGCUUACAGCGGCUCAGGAGACACUCAGCUGAAAGGGCAAAAUACCUCUCUCCAUCUCUGUCUCUACCUCUCUGUGUCUGCCUCUCCCUCUCUUUUCUCUGUCCCUCUCUAUGUGUCUGUCUCUACCUCUCUCUGCUUUUCCCUUUAUUUCUGUCUCUGUCUCUCUCUACACACACAACAAGCAUCUUUUGGUUUAAGAAUCUCCUCUGUCUCUCUCUGUCUCUCUCUACACACACACACACACACGUAUGUGUAUAAGUAUGUAGAGGAAGGUUGAGAAGAGAGGGAGGGAGAAGGUUGAAAGGGAAGGAAGGGAGAGGAGGAAAAGGAAGAUUCUUAAACAAAAAUUAAACUUUUCUGAUACUUUUUCAUAUCAUGAUUCUCACAUUCCUUCAUUCAACAAACAAUUCUUAUGCAUCCCCAUCUAGGAGUAAAGGAGGAGUGAGACAGAUACAAAAAAUAAAUAACUUCCCUGUCCUCAAGGAUCUGACAAUGGUCCUGCAACAUCCUUCAAUCCAGGACCUUGAAACACUUUGCAAGUGGUCAAUCCAUCUCAAGGCAUCCUUCAUAUCUCCCCAAGAUGGAGGGUGAGACUUAAAAGGUUUAUCACACAGUAAUCCGUGAAUUAGAGCUAAGCCCAGACUACAGGAUGCAUUCCCUAAUAAGUAUUAAGUUCUGCUUUGCUUUCUUGAAAAAGAAUUUUUCUAAUUUCUAUCUUUUGUUUUCACAUCACCAUCAUUUCUGAAUGUAUCCCUCCCGUGCUCCCCUAACCAGCAAGCCAUGUCUUGUGACAAUGAAAAAUAAAGAGGGGAAGAAAGCAGUUUAGCAAAACUAACCAACACAUCCAAUGAA